rnacentral:tRNA from 1 species
CGCAUAGCUCAGCUGGUUCAGAGCACCUGCCUUACAAGCAGGGGGUCGGCGGUUCGAGUCCGUCUGCGCC